GACGUAGGGCGCGAGCGUUGUCCGGAUUUAUUGGGCGUAAAGAGCUUGUAGGCGGUUUGUCGCGUCUGCUGUGAAAUUUCGGGGCUCAACCCCGAACUUGCAGUGGGUACGGGCAGACUAGAGUGUGGUAGGGGAGACUGGAAGUUCCUGGUGUAGCGGUGAAAUGCGCAGAUAUCAGGAGGAACACCGAUGGCGAAGGCAGGUCUCUGGGCCAUAACUGACGCUGAGAAGCGAAGCAUGGGAGCGAACAG
rnacentral:rRNA from 1 species